AAGUGGGAAGGUCUCAGGCCACUGAGCCAGCGAUGGAGCCUCUGGCUACAGGAAGCUGGUGGUUGACAGCAGGGAAGCCCAGAACCCAGAUGGAGGUCCCCCACUUACUCGCAAAGGCUGAAUGACAGCUUGACAGGUGAGUGCGAUGCCCCUCCCCACUCCCAACCUGCCAGGAGUUGUCCUUUCGACAGGGGGAGGGGUCAGUGUGCCUGCAUAUAUUGGGGAAGCAGGGAGCCUGGUAAGCCUCUCUUCACAGCUUCCACUGCAGAGCCUCAUACCUACCUCCAGCCAGAGAAUGCUGCCAUCUCCAUGAAAAAAGCCCAUGUUCGCCAGCUGGAGGAUAAGAUACAACAGGGAGGAGAAGCAAGGUGCCCCUUGUUGACAAUCCCAGAAGCAGAAGCUCAUGCCCAGAAGCACAGCUGCCUAGUUGACAGGCUCAGCUGAGACCAGAAGAAUGGCCCCACCAAGCCCAGCCUAAAUGGCUGACCAUCACAAUUAUGAGCUAAGAAGUUUUGGAUGGUUUGUUAUGCUGUAAGAGCUAACUAAUACGUGCACCCAGUGCAGAUAGGAUGCCAAAAAUUAAUGGCAAGUUGAUUACUAAUUACGUUCUAACAGUGGGCACCCUAAAAGUGCUGACUUUUUUCCCCUGAUUUAAAGUUAGAUGUUUUGUAAUACUGAGAAAUGAAUAAAUACAUGUAGACAUGUG